GAUGAACGCUGGCGGCGUGCCUAAUACAUGCAAGUCGAGCGAACGGACGAGAAGCUUGCUUCCCUGAUGUUAGCGGCGGACGGGUGAGUAACACGUGGAUAACCUACCUAUAAGACUGGGAUAACUUCGGGAAACCGUAGCUAAUACCGGAUAAUAUUUUGAACCGCAUGGUUCAAAAGUGAAAGACGGUCUUGCUGUCACUUAUAGAUGGAUCCGCGCUGCAUUAGCUAGUUGGUAAGGUAACGGCUUACCAAGGCAACGAUGCAUAGCCGACCUGAGAGGGUGAUCGGCCACACUGGAACUGAGACACGGUCCAGACUCCUACGGGAGGCAGCAGUAGGGAAUCUUCCGCAAUGGGCGAAAGCCUGACGGAGCAACGCCGCGUGAGUGAUGAAGGUCUUCGGAUCGUAAAACUCUGUUAUUAGGGAAGAACAUAUGUGUAAGUAACUGUGCGCAUCUUGACGGUACCUAAUCAGAAAGCCACGGCUAACUACGUG
rnacentral:rRNA from 1 species